AGCGAACGCUGGCGGCAGGCCUAACACAUGCAAGUCGAACGGACCCUUCGGGGUUAGUGGCGGACGGGUGAGUAACACGUGGGAACGUGCCUUUAGGUUCGGAAUAGCUCCUGGAAACGGGUGGUAAUGCCGAAUGUGCCCUUCGGGGGAAAGGAUUUAUCGCCUUUAGAGCGGCCCGCGUCUGAUUAGCUAGUUGGUGAGGUAAUGGCUCACCAAGGCGACGAUCAGUAGCUGGUCUGAGAGGAUGACCAGCCACAUUGGGACUGAGACACGGCCCAAAACUCCUACGGGAGGCAGCAGUGGGGAAUCUUGCGCAAUGGGCGAAAGCCUGACGCAGCCAUGCCGCGUGAAUGAUGAAGGUCUUAGGAUUGUAAAAUUCUUUCACCGGGGACGAUAAUGACGGUACUCGGAGAAGAAGCCCCCGGCUAACUUCGUGCCAGCAGCCGCGGUAAC
rnacentral:rRNA from 1 species